AGGGUAGUAGCUCAACUGGCAGAGCAGAGCACCGGUCUCCAAAACCGGCGGUUGGGGGUUCGAGUCCCUCCUGCCCUG
rnacentral:tRNA from 1 species